rnacentral:rRNA from 1 species
GACGAACGCUGGCGGCGUGCUUAACACAUGCAAGUCGAACGAUGAAGCCGGAGCUUGCUCUGGUGAAUAAGUGGCGAACGGGUGAGUAACACGUGAGUAACCUGCCCUUGACUCUGGGAUAACUGCGGGAAACUGUAGCUAAUACCGGAUACGACCCUCGGAGGCAUCUCCUGGGGGUGGAAAGAAUUUCGGUCAAGGAUGGACUCGCGGCCUAUCAGCUAGUUGGUGAGGUAAAGGCUCACCAAGGCGACGACGGGUAGCCUGCCUGAGAGGGUGACCGGCCACACUGGGACUGAGACACGGCCCAGACUCCUACGGGAGGCAGCAGUGGGGAAUAUUGCACAAUGGGCGCAAGCCUGAUGCAGCAACGCCGCGUGAGGGAUGACGGCCUUCGGGUUGUAAACCUCUUUUAGCAGGGAAGAAGCGAAAGUGACGGUACCUGCAGAAAAAGCACCGGCUAACUACGUGCCAGCAGCCGCAGUAA